UAACAAUUCCCCUACUGUCACUACUGC
rnacentral:piRNA from 1 species